AGAUCAAAUUGUUGGUCGUGCCUCGGUACGUACUGGCAUUAUUGAUUUCUCCCUUCUGAAGAACCACGAUGUCAUUAAUUUGGUGUCGUGGGGAAUCAGGACUGUUACUUUGAAAAAAUUAGAGUGUUUAAAGCAGGCUCACGCUUGAAUACAUUAGCAUGGAAUAAUGAAAUAGGACGUUUGAUUCUAUUUUGUUGGUUUCUAGGAUCGACGUAAUGAUUAAUAGGGAUAGUUGGG
rnacentral:rRNA from 1 species